UCGGCAGGUAGGAUAAUCCUUACCCCUUCCUCCUUUUUGGAGAACAGAUACGAAUACGAUGAUUGGAGUUCCCAUGAUUCGUGAUUAACGACUCUGAGUAAUCGGGACUUGCAAAUCAGUAAAGUUAUAGGUGAA